ACCGUUGAAGCAAGUUCACAUACCUAUAUGUAUUUGAAGGAGAGGGCAAGUGACUCUACCUGGGGGAAACUCCCUGCUGAACUUUGAAGAAUGUGGAGUUCUCCAAAUUCUGGGUGAUGGUGAAGGACAGGGAAGCCUGGCAUGCUGCAGUCCAUGGGGUUGCUAAGAGUCAGGCACGACUUAACAACUGAACAACAACAACUUCAUGCCAAAGGGUCAACAACAGUGAGAUAUGGAAGCAUGGAGCGCUGGUCCAGCUCAGGAGACUGGGGACAGUAAGGAACAAAAAGAGCUAAAAGUGAAUGGGAGCAACAGCACAUGAGCCUCCAAGAGUAGAUUAAGGCAGUAGCAUGAAGAGCCUCGGAAGUCAGUAUAGAGCAGCACUCUGCCUGGUGGUUGUUGAGCCUACGCCAAGGCAAUUCUGUUAUUCUCCAGUUGAUCAGAAAAGCUACCAUGAAAUUAGAAGAGUUAAAGUCACCAACGUCCCCUUCAGCCUGUAUCCCUUCUUCACCACCCUGAGUUAGAGAAGCACAGUGCUUCCCAAACCUGCCUGAUCUAAGGAACCCCUAAGGGAUCUGUGAAAAUAAAUGCAAAAAGACAAGUUUCAGGACAGUCCGGAACAGAAUCUUUGGGGUAAGGCUUGGGAUCUGUAUUCAAGUGCCCCCAAUGAACAAAUCAGCCAGAUUUGAGAGAAUAAUCGGAUACUGAAUGCAGUAGGAGAGAAUGCUGCUCGGAACAGUGUUGCCACUGAGUUGCUGGAAAGGUGUUGGAAAAUCAUUGACUCUCUGGAAAAUGUGGACAGUGACACGCACAUCCCCAUCCAACAGACAGUGCAGCCUGAGAUAAGCAAGAUAAUAUGUGUGAGGUGCUUUGUGAUCGGCAGAAGGAAAUACAAGGUGACAUUAUUAUCUGUGCCAUCCUCGUCAUCAUGGUCGUCAUCAUCUGGGCCAUCAUCCCUGUUAUCUCUCCAAAUGCAUACAGAUUUUAAUUAGGCCAGCUUGUCCCUCUCCUCGAAGAAAAUGAAGUGUCAUAUCCCUGUUUGUGUAGGAGGGUGGGAGUGAGUUUGGGAAAUGUUUUGUUUAGUUACUGUAUUCUUUUCUUCUCAGACACUGUAUGCA
rnacentral:lncRNA from 1 species